rnacentral:sRNA from 1 species
UGGCCAUCAGAUCCUAGGGAUUGUUAACCAUCAUAUUUGAUGUUGUUGACCUAUAUACUCGAAAAAUCCUAUGAUCCGGAAUCUGUAAUUAUCCUCUCCUCGU